GCGCCGUCUUUCUCACCACAUGACCUUCGCAUCGUUCCAUCCUCCUCUCACGCACAAACAGCGAAGGCACAGACCCAGUCGCUCUCAUCUCUCCCCUUUUCCUCUCAUGCUAGAUAAUCUCACCGCACUCUUCGCUGUCGAAUAAGCUCCGCAGACGGGCAAUGGAACGUGUGGCAUCGAUGCUGUCGGCGUUAAAACCGACUCUGGAGAAGCACCAGCUAGGCAGCUGGAAGCCGGCUGAGGUGGACCGGCUCUGCGCCAUGCUGAGAGAAUACGGCAAGCAGGAGCGGCGAGAGAAGUGCAGCACACGCUGUCUCAACGGCGCCGCUACUGCUCUUGCAUCUCUCCCUUCCUCCUCUGGCGCCCCGCCAUCGUUGCCUAGCGGGGGCGACGACGUGGAAGGCGAAAACGAUACGGAUGAAGAGGCGUUCGCCGGUGCGGUCAGCGAGGUGGAUCGGUGCCUCAACCUCGUGCGCGACUUCCUUAAGCGGCGUAUGCCGUUCGGUGCGGUAGUGGAACCCACUCUCCCUGCUGGCACAGCAGAGCGACAAGCGCCGCAAUCCAGUUGUGCGGGCACCACUUCUUGGAAGCGGGCUCGCUCUCCCAGCGGUGAGGCGUCGUCAUCCGCACCGACGAGCAACAGCGUCCAUAGCGGCGCUGCGGUGGUCGCGGCGCCUGUGUACGCCGUGGAUGCGUUCCUGUACGCGGAGGGCGAUAUCGAGAAGCUCGUGGAGGCGAAGAAGUUGGCGCGGGAGUACUGCUGCCGCUGCGGCAGCACUGAUCUCGGACUGGUGGAGUUCAUCACUCACUCCUUCUCGCAAGACCAGCUCGUCUACCUCAGUUGCUUUCUCCUGCCGCACCUUCUCGACGUAGUCGUCGCGUCUGACGAGGCAUCGCGGCCGCUGUCCAUCGCAGACGUCGGCUCUCGGCUCGGUAUCGUGCUGUGGGCAUGUGCGUUUGCGCUGCAACGGGGUCUUCUUGCACCAGCGCAGGCUGUGGCCAUGGAUGCGGCCGCUGGUGACGCGGCACCGGAGGUGAACCUCGUCGGCAUCGAGUUGGAUGCGACGUUCGUGAAGAUCUCCCAGGACGUUGCGCGUCGCUUCUUUGCGCAGCGGCGUCGCCACGCACCGAAGCUGGACUCGACGCCGCAGCCCGCUGCGGCUGACGGCGUCGACGCGAAGCUGCCGGAUGUGUCGUCGAGCAUUCAGCUCCUACAAAGUGACUGCUUCGAGGGUGCUGCCGCCUCUGCCCUCUCUGACAGCUCCCUCGUGGUGAUGCACAACGUAUUUGAGUACUUCUGCACCACAGCGGUAGAGCACGCCCGCUGCUGGCUGAAGCUGCGCCGCCUCGUGCACCGCUCUGGGCAGUUUCUUGUGUGCAGCCCAGCUCUCGAGGUAACACUCGGCACCUUCACAGACGAGGUGUGGUUGCAGGCGUGGCAGCUGGAGAAUGGAAAGGAUGCCAGAGGCACGUCAACGCCGCUGGCGUGGUUGGCCUCGUACGUGGAGCCGUUUGAUACAGCGGAUGUGGCCUCCGACUUUCUGGCGAUGCGCACGUUGUCUUGCGAGGGCUGUGACAACGGCAGCGACGGGGACAAGCACGAUGAGGAUCACCAUCGCGGACGCAGUCGCGACCACUACCAUCAUCACGGUAGCGAAGAAGAUGAGGAGGAAGGGGAAGAGGCCAGCGAGAUGGCGGAGCAGAUUCAGCGAAUCCACGUGUACCGUGUCAAGUAACGCCUGCGCCCGCGCGCGCGCGCGAUAGAGAGAGAAAGGUACUGCGCUCACGACUUUCGUAGGCGAAGCGAAGCGUGGAGCGGGACACCGCGCAAACAUCUCAGUAACCACAAAGCGCCGAGAGCCAUGCGCAGAGUUGCGCCGCGGUGUGCGUGUGUGUGCGUGGCGGGGGGGAGGCGAAAACGAAAAGAGGUGAGCGGUUGAUUUCUUUGUGGUUUUGCGAGCCCAUAGCUUAGUCGAUGAAGUCUGCGGAGGCACCUGGCGAGCAUACAACAGAGGGCAGGGAAGCUUGACACUGCGACGCACACCCGAGACCACCUCGAUCCCGCAUCCCCGCCCCACUACGAUCAUCACCAUCAGCAUUGCACCUCGGCGUGCACCCGUGCGUCUCUUUCUUUGGUUUUCUUUGUCUUUUUUUUUCGUCGUUGUUCUUAGCCGUCUUCAGGCGUCUCCACCGAAUCCGACACACUGACGACGAGGUGUGCAGCGUGAGGCCAUCAUGGAUCGGGCGCACUUAACUGCAAAGCUGUUCGUUGAGUUCGGCGCUAACCAACAAACUGAUAAAGGAAGGCGGCAGACGUGUGAACGUCAGUGACUGCGCUCAUGUCCAUGGCGAACGCUGGGUUCGUUGCCAGCAUAGUGCUGCGCGGAGCACCUACACGCGCCAUGUCAGCUGGUGCUUUAGGAAGACAUGGACGACAAGUGCCUUACACACUGCUCAGAGGUUGACGGAUGCAAGCAGAGCAGCGGCGCUCUCCGUGGGAAGCUAGCAGCGUGUGACCACUGGCCUCUACUCUUUCCCCGUGUCUGAGAGAGCGUGCUCUUCAGUUUAUGCCCACCGUCUCCCCUGUUCUCUCUGCCUUCACUAAUGCAG
rnacentral:misc_RNA from 1 species